rnacentral:rRNA from 1 species
GAUGAACGCUGGCGGCGUGCUUAACACAUGCAAGUCGAACGGAAAGGCCAGUGCUUGCACUGGUACUCGAGUGGCGAACGGGUGAGUAACACGUGGGUGAUCUGCCCUGCACUUCGGGAUAAGCCUGGGAAACUGGGUCUAAUACCGGAUAGGACAAUGGUUUGGAUGCCGUUGUGGAAAGUUUUUUCGGUGUGGGAUGAGCUCGCGGCCUAUCAGCUUGUUGAUGGGGUAAUGGCCUACCAAGGCGUCGACGGGUAGCCGGUACGUGAGGGUGUACAGCCACAUUAGACCCGUACUACAGGCCGCACUCGUGCAGGUGGCAGCAAGGGGGAAUGUUUGACGAUGGGCGCCAGCCUGAUGCAGGGAGGCCGCGUGAGCGAUGACGGCCUUCAGGUUGUAAACACCUUUCGCUAAGGGCGAAGCGUAUUUGUGACGGUACCUAGUGAGAAAGCACCGGCUAACUACGUG